UAGCGUAAAAAAUUCAUUGAUAGUCAAUGCGUCUUUCCAGCUUCGAUCCAGCCUCACUUUUUCUAGUCUUGGAAAUCUUAACGUAUAGUUUGUCUUAAACCGAUCUGUAUUAAGAGAUUAGUAUAUAAAGAUAACACAAAUUUAUAUCAUACUAGAUACUACAACUUCCGCAGCUUUGAUUUGGAGAACUAAUGAAUCCUUCGGAUGAAUCCACAUAUCAGGCUUUUCAAAGUCUUGUUUAGUGCCAGCCAAUUCCAUAUAUUCUAAAGCAUCAGAAGACCAAGGAAGCCAUUUUCCUUCUGUCUCCUUUCGAAUUAUAUCGCGAUCAAAGUAAGUAAAUCCACCACCUACACGAACAAAUGACUGAAACUUCUCAGAAUGGUCUUUUGGAGUGUAGUCCAUGCGUAGUCCACAAAGAAACGAAUUUAUUUUUCCCGACUGCUUACCUCGGCCAAAAUACCCGCCUAAAAUAAGGCAAUCCAAAUCUUCUCCGAAACCCUGAAGAUAGUAAGGCUUAACUUUGAUCCAGUCAUCCAUUCGUUCUCCAAGGUGAUAACUUCCACUUGGUUUCUUGAUAACCAACCCUUCGGAUCCUUCUUGAAUAACAUUCCGUAACUCUGCUUCAAUAUCUUCAAUAGUACUGCCGACCUUGUAAGGUAGAAUACUCAUACGAUGAGAUUCGCGAACAAUUACUUUCUCUAAUAUUCGUCUUCUUGAUUCUAAUGAGUACUUUACCAAAGACUUCCCAUUAAGAUACAAAAUAUCGAACACAACGUAAUAAGGGCUGUAGGAUGAAUGAGAGGAAGAAUCUUCAAAAAUGCUUCUUAAACUUCCGUAUGGGAUCACUGUUUCCAACACUGGAUCCCAUGUAACCAUUUCUCCAUCAAGAAUAAUUUGUGAAAUACGUUUGUCAAAUGCUCCAAUGAUGUAUUGUGUCAGCCUAGAUUGUUCAUCGAAAUAACUAGAGCCAUAGGCAUAAGUGUACGACCUGGCAUUUCGACUAUAGAAUUGGAAUUUUCCUGAACUCAUGUGUAAUUGAAUACGCUCCCCGUCUAGCUUUUCUUCAAUCCAAAACGGUUUAUUUCCCAUGGCUUCCAGCGUUUGAUGGAGAUCCUUUUUUUUGAAAUUGGCUAGCUGAGGCUGGAAGCAACUAAAGACUUCCACAUCUGUUUCAGUUUCAUCAAGAGACCGACUAGGAUCAUAGAGCUCCCAACAAAUUCUCUUUAAGGAGCUACACAGUCGAUAUAAUCGAGCUGCAUCAGGAUGGAACACAGAAAGUAUGAAUUUUUCCGAUGUUCCGUAUUUUCGAACUAAAGAAAUAAAAAAGUUAGGUCAUAAAUAAAGAAAUAUCAUUUCCAACCAACCUUUCAGUAAAAUGGGAAUUAGCCAUCGAAGCUCAAGAGGACUCAAGGAUCUAUAAAAUUGCUCCAAAAUAUUAACUCGGGUAUCCCUUAUUAAGGUUAGAUACGGUAAAAAAUUUAGAACAUACUCAGAAGAAGCAUCUGCUAAUUGAUCCAGCAGGGCGUUGACAUCACCAACUGUAAAGGCACCAGGAAAGGUCCUGUAUGCCCUUCUUUGUAAAAUAUCUAAAUUUUUUUCAGUUAAAAUAUGAUCAGGAUCAAUUGGAAUACAAAAACUAUGAUGAACACACCCUGCAACAUGGUAGAAAAAUCUCCAGUAUGUUUGGACUCGGAUCCUCUCCAAUUUUUCAAAGAUUUUGCAUCUUCAGAAGUAGGACUCAAAUGCAUAGCCUUGUUAAUUAGUCACUGAUGUUGCAACUUAAUUACUUACUCGAAUAAACAGUUUUCCAAGCCCAAAUUCCUUGAACCCAUAUGAUCCUCUUUCACGAUCCAACUAGAAAAUUAGCAAUUAGAAAUUCAAGACACCGAUUAAGACACUUUAUGUAAUGCGAUUUAGUGGUCUAACAAUUUUAAGUCGUACAUCAGGAAGCACUCCAUUAGUUAGUAUAAGGAAUAAAAUAC